rnacentral:rRNA from 1 species
UACGUAGGCAGCGAGCGUUGUUCGGAGUUACUGGGCGUAAAGGGUGUGUAGGCGGUUGUUUAAGUUUGGUGUGAAAUCUCCCGGCUCAACUGGGAGGGUGCGCCGAAUACUGAAUGACUUCGAGUGCGGGAGAGGAAAAGUGGAAUUCCUGGUGUAGCGGUGAAAUGCGUAGAUAUCAGGAGGAACACCGGUGGUGUAGACGGCUUCUGGACCGUAACUGACGCUGAGACACGAAAGCGUGGGUAGCAAACAGG